CUCAAUUUUCCAGUACCCUGGAAGGUAACUACCAUAGAAUUUCCACCUUCAAUAAUGAAGAUCCCAACCACACACUCAGAGCCUUGGAGGCAAGGAUGCAGCCAUCUACUGCAGACAAGCAAAGGAGCCUGAAUAACUGACAACAUGAAUGAGAGUCGUGUGGGGAACCACCUAACCCACCGCACAAUGAAAAUAAAGUCUGGGAAUGCCAAGAUGUGUCACUGGUUGUACUCCCACAGCCAGAAAGGGAAAGUCAGAUUGCAAAACCAAAGUCGCCUGCCU